CCGGGUGAGUAACACGUAUCCAACCUGCCGUCUACUCUUGGCCAGCCUUCUGAAAGGAAGAUUAAUCCAGGAUGGCAUCAUGAGUUCACAUGUCCGCAUGAUUAAAGGUAUUUUUCGAUAGACGAUGGGGAUGCGUUCCAUUAGAUAGUAGGCGGGGUAACGGCCCACCUAGUCAACGAUGGAUAGGGGUUCUGAGAGGAAGGUCCCCCACAUUGGAACUGAGACACGGUCCAA
rnacentral:rRNA from 1 species